UCCAAGAUGGAUUUGAGGUUGGGCUACCAUCAAAUAAAAAUCAGAAACGGGGACAUUCCUAAAACGGCCUUUGUUACUCGUUAUGGCCAAUACGAGUACACCGUCAUGUCCUUCGGUUUAACCAACGCUCCAGCCACCUUUUCUCGGUUAAUGAACUCAAUCUUCAUGGAGUAUUUGGAUAAAUUCGUCGUAGUUUAUCUCGAUGAUAUACUCAUCUACUCCAAGAACGAGGAAGAACAUGCCGAACAUUUAAGGCUAGUGUUGAAGAAACUUCGAGAGCAUUGCCUUUAUGCCAAAUUUUCUAAAUGUGAAUUCUGGUUGUCAGAAGUGACCUAUCUGGGUCAUGUAAUAUCUGGUAAAGGUAUUGCUGUUAACCCUGAGCGAGUUCAAGCCGUCCUUAAUUGGACUCCACCUGAAUCGGUCAAGCAAGUUCGGAGUUUUCUGGGCUUAGCGAGCUAUUGCCGUCGCUUUGUCGAGAACUUCUCCAAGGUAGCUAAACCUCUAACCGAACUCCUCAAGAAAGAUAAGAAGUUCGAAUGGACUCCACAAUGUGAGCACAGCUUUCAGGAACUGAAAAGACGCCUGACCUCUGCUCCCGUGCUGGUACCGCCAGACCUCUCCAAGGACUUUGUUAUCUACUGCGACGCCUCGCGACAAGGACUAGGUUGCAUUCUCAUGCAAGAUCGACACGUAAUUGCUUACGCUUCACGGCAAUUGCACCCACAUGAGGAGAAUUAUCCUACUCAUGAUCUAGAGCUUGCGGCCGUAGUCUAUGCACUUAAGACCUGGCGACAUUACCUCCUCGGUAAUCGUUGCGAAAUAUUCACUGAUCACCAAAGUCUGAAGUACAUUUUCACCCAACCGGAUUUGAAUCUCAGGCAGAGACGU
rnacentral:rRNA from 1 species